AAUAUUCUCUUUGGAGCCGACCAAGUGGAAAUCUCACAAAAAACAGCAAUCGGUUGUGACUCUGUCCUUCAGCGCUGAAAUGGUUAAAUCAAGCAGGAGGGGGCGGGGCCCUGCAGCCACGUCACCUCGCAAAUCCAUCACCCGCUUCCCUUUCUAAUAAAGUUCUCUGCCGUUUGAAUGCUUUACCCCCUCCCUUGCUGGCUGCCUCGCUCGGCGUGUCGGGAGUUGUAGUCUUGGCUGCUGUUGGCGCUUCCCCUGCAGGUUGGGAGUCGGCAGCGAGUCGGAGGAAAGCAAAUCUUCUGCAGUCUGAAGAGGCCGUAAUUUGGUGUCACCAGCACAACCGGAUUAAGCCGGAGGCUACAUAAUGCGGCAGCUGAAGGGAAAGCCCAAGAAAGAGACGUCAAAAGAUAAAAAGGAGAGGAAACAGGCCAUGCAAGAGGCCCGGCAGCAGAUAACCACUGUAGUGCUUCCCACGCUGGCCGUGGUGGUGGCAUUAAUCGUUGUAUUUGUGUAUGUGGCAACGCGCCCAAAUACAAUAGAAUAGAGUCUUCUCAUACACAGCUGCCUUCUGGCAAUGGAGCCAAAAACAGAUUUUUUUUUUUUUUUUUCUUUUAAAGAAUUUUACCAUUCUGACAAUUUGUAAAAUGGACCCUUUAAUCACCUGCAGUGUUUUUAGCCAACUGUCCUUUAUUGAAUGUAACGAAGAGCAAAUAUCCAUGACAAACGUGCCAUGCGUUCCGAGUAAAACAGUUACUGUGCCUUUUUAUAGUGAUUUUUUUAAUUUUUAAUAAAAUAUGCUGAUGCACCAGUGUAAAUGACACCCCAUAAUCUGAAAACAAUACUGCCCUCAUUUCAAUGUAUCAAGAAAAAAAGAACCUCGUAUCUGUAUUAUGCAGUUGCCAAAGGACGUUCCCUUGCGGUGAUGUUGAUUAUCUAUAUUGUAUCCUCCAUCUCUGAUAUUUAUUUUUGGAAUAAAGAAUGAAAAAAAAGUCUA